AUUGAACGCUGGCGGCAUGCUUUACACAUGCAAGUCGAACGGCAGCGCGGGCUUCGGCCUGGCGGCGAGUGGCGAACGGGUGAGUAAUGCAUCGGAACGUGCCCAGUAGUGGGGGAUAGCCCGGCGAAAGCCGGAUUAAUACCGCAUACGACCUGAGGGUGAAAGCGGGGGACCGAAAGGCCUCGCGCUAUUGGAGCGGCCGAUGUCGGAUUAGAUAGUCGGUGGGGGAAAGGCUUACCAAGGGGAGUAUCCGUAACUGGUCUGGGAGGACGACCAGCCACACUGGGACUGAGACACGGCCCAGACUCCUACGGGAGGCAGCAGUGGGGAAUUUUGGACAAUGGGGGCAACCCUGAUCCAGCCAUGCCGCGUGCGGGAAGAAGGCCUUCGGGUUGUAAACCGCUUUUGUUCGGGAAGAAAUCCUCUGGGCUAAUACCCCGGGGGGAUGACGGUACCGGAAGAAUAAGCACCGGCUAACUACGUG
rnacentral:rRNA from 1 species